GAUGAACGCUGGCGGCGUGCCUAAUACAUGCAAGUCGAGCGAACAGAUAAGGAGCUUGCUCCUUUGACGUUAGCGGCGGACGGGUGAGUAACACGUGGGUAACCUACCUAUAAGACUGGGAUAACUUCGGGAAACCGGAGCUAAUACGGGAUAACAUUUGGAACCGCAUGGUUCUAAAGUGAAAGAUGGUUUUGCUAUGACUUAUAGAUGGACCCGCGCGGUAUUAGCUAGUUGGUAAGGUAACGGCUUACCAAGGCACCGAUGCGUAGCCGACCUGAGAGGGUGAUCGGCCACACUGUAACUGAGACACGGUCCAGACUCCUACGGGAGGCAGCAGUAGGGAAUCUUCCGCAAUGGGCGAAAGCCUGACGGAGCAACGCCGCGUGAGUGAUGAAGGGUUUCGGCUCGUAAAACUCUGUUAUUAGGGAAGAACAAACGUGUAAGUAACUGUGCACGUCUUGACGGUACCUAAUCAGAAAGCCACGGCUAACUACGUG
rnacentral:rRNA from 1 species